rnacentral:rRNA from 1 species
GAUGAACGCUGGCGGCGUGCCUAAUACAUGCAAGUCGAGCGAAGAGGGGACGGGUGAGUAAAACGUGGAUAAACUCAUCUAUGACUGGGAUAACCUCGGGAAAACGGUGCUAAAACGGAUAAUUAUCGCUGGAUCCGCGCGGCAUUAGCUGGUUGGUACGGUAACGGCUUACCAAGGCGACGAUGCAUAGCUGACCUGAGAGGGUGAUCGGCCAAACUGGAACUGAGACACGGUCCAGACUCCUACGGGAGGCAGCAGUAGGGAAUCUUGCGCAAUGGGCGAAAGCCUGACGGAGCAAUGCCGCGUGAAUGAUGAAGGCCUUCGGAUCGUAAAACACUUUUAUUAGGGAAGCGGUACCUGAACAGAAAGCCACGGCUAACUACGUGCCAGCAGCCGCGGUAAUUC